rnacentral:rRNA from 1 species
UACGAAGGGGGCUAGCGUUGCUCGGAAUCACUGGGCGUAAAGGGUGCGUAGGCGGGUUUUUAAGUCAGGGGUGAAAUCCUGGAGCUCAACUCCAGAACUGCCUUUGAUACUGAAGAUCUUGAGUCCGGGAGAGGUGAGUGGAACUGCGAGUGUAGAGGUGAAAUUCGUAGAUAUUCGCAAGAACACCGGUGGCGAAGGCGGCUCACUGGCUCAUUACUGACGCUCAGGCGCGAUAGCGUGGGGAUCAAACAGG